AUUGAACGCUGGCGGCAGGCCUAACACAUGCAAGUCGAACGAGUGGCGGACGGGUGAGUAAUGUCUGGGCAACUGACUGAUGGAGGGGGAUAACUACUGGAAACGGUAGCUAAUACCGCAUACCAUCGGAUGUGCCCAGAUGGGAUUAGCUAGGAGGUGGGGUAACUGCUCACCUAGGCGACGAUCCCUAGCUGGUCUGAGAGGAGGUAUAGCCACACUGGACCUGAUACACGGUCCAGAAUCCUACGUGAGGCAGCAGGGGGGAAUAUUGCACAAUGGGGUGAAGCCUGAUGCAGCCAUGCCGCGUGUAUGAAGAAGGCCUUCGGGGUGUAAAGUACUUUCAGCGGGGAGGCGUUACCCGCAGAAGAAGCACCGGCUAACUCCGUGCCAGCAGCCGCGGUAAUUC
rnacentral:rRNA from 1 species